AGAGUUUGAUCCUGGCUCAGAACGAACGCUGGCGGCGUGCCUAACACAUGCAAGUCGCACGCAGUUAAGGGGGCAACUCCUUGAUUGAGUGGCGCACGGGUGAGUAACACGUAGGUAACCUGCCCUUCACUGGGGAAUAACCUGUCGAAAGACGGGCUAAUUCCGCAUACGUCCAAGACUGCUCCGGCAGAUUUGGGGAAAGGCGGCCCGCAAGGGCUGUCGGUGAUGGAUGGGCCUGCGUACCAUUAGCUAGUUGGUAGGGUAAUGGCCUACCAAGGCUACGAUGGUUAGCUGGUCUGAGAGGAUGAUCAGCCACACUGGAACUGACACACGGUCCAGACUCCUACGGGAGGCAGCAGUGGGGAAUAUUGCGCAAUGGGCGAAAGCCUGACGCAGCAACGCCGCGUGAGGGAUGAAGGUUCUCGGAUUGUAAACCUCUGUCGGGGGGGACAAAACCUAUGCUGGCUAAUAUCCAGCAUAAUUGAUGGUACCCCCAAAGGAAGCACCGGCUAACUCCGUGCCAGCAGCCGCGGUAAUACGGAGGGUGCAAGCGUUGUUCGGAAUUAUUGGGCGUAAAGCGCACGUAGGUGGCUUUAGAAGUCCGGUGUGAAAUCCCUCGGCUUAACCGAGGAAGUGCGCCGGAAACCAUAAAGCUAGAGUAUCGGAGGGGAGAGUAGAAUUCCCAGUGUAGAGGUGAAAUUCGUAGAUAUUGGGAGGAAUACCGGUGGCGAAAGCGACUCUCUGGACGAUUACUGACACUAAAGUGCGAAAGCGUGGGUAGCAAACAGGAUUAGAUACCCUGGUAGUCCACGCCGUAACGAUGGGUACUAGUGUCACGGGAUUUGACCCCUGUGGUGCCGUCGCUAACGCAUUAAGUACCCCGCCUGGGAAGUACGGCCGCAAGNUGAAACUCAAAGGAAUUGACGGGNNNGCACAAGCGUGAGCAUGGNGGUUCAAUUCGACGCANNCGAGANNUACUAGCUUGACAUUGUNNAGAUCUGAUGAAGUCGGAGUGCCCNCANNANNUCUANCCNNNNUGC
rnacentral:rRNA from 1 species